rnacentral:miRNA from 1 species
GAACUGGUCAGCCUGGGGACUGGUGAUCUCUGCAGCUGUGGGCUCAGCUCUGGGCUGAACCUGG